UAGGGAAUCUUCGGCAAUGGGGGGAACCCUGACCGAGCAACGCCGAGUGAGUGAAGAAGGUUUUCGGAUCGUAAAGCUCUGUUGUUAAGGAAGAACGAGUGUGAGAAUGGAAAGUUCAUGCUGUGACGGUACUUAACCAGAAAGGGACGGCUAACUACGUGCCAGCAGCCGCGGUAAUACGUAGGUCCCGAGCGUUGUCCGGAUUUAUUGGGCGUAAAGCGAGCGCAGGCGGUUAGAAAAGUCUGAAGUGAAAGGCAGUGGCUCAACCAUUGUAGGCUUUGGAAACUGUUUAACUUGAGUGCAGAAGGGGAGAGUGGAAUUCCAUGUGUAGCGGUGAAAUGCGUAGAUAUAUGGAGGAACACCGGUGGCGAAAGCGGCUCUCUGGUCUGUAACUGACGCUGAGGCUCGAAAGCGUGGGGAGCGAACAGG
rnacentral:rRNA from 1 species